rnacentral:rRNA from 1 species
AUUGCACGCUGGCGGCAGGCUUAACACAUGCAAGUCGAGCGAGCGGCGGACGGGUGAGUAAUGUCUGGGAAACUGCCUGAUGGAUGGGGAUAACUACUGGCGACGAUAGCUAAUACCGCAUACCAUCAGAUGUGCCCAGAUGGGAUGAGCUAGUAGGUGGGGUAAUGGCUCACCUAGGCGACGAUCCCUAGCUGGUCUGAGAGGAUGACCAGCCACACUGGAACUGAGACACGGUCCAGACGCCUACGGGAGGCAGCAGUGGGGAAUAUUGCACAAUGGGCGAAAGCCUGAUGCAGCCAUGCCGCGUGUGUGAAGAAGGCCUUAGGGUUGUAAAGCACUUUCAGCGAGGAGGCGUUACUCGCAGAAGAAGCACCGGCUAACUACGUGCCAGCAGCCGCGGUAAUUC